AUGAGCAGUCAGCAGAGACUGAAAAGUGAGAACCCAUCAAGGAAGAAAGCAGAUGAUGGAAGCUCUGAAAGGGCUGCAAACAGUAAGAGCCGGGGGAGAAGAAAAAGAACUUAAAGAUCCAAAGUUGCUUAUUACAAAUGUGCUUCUGCUUGUCAAACUCCAAUCUAUCUUCAGCAGUGCUAAAUAUCUGGUCAUGAAGCAAUAUGCUCUUCAUAAGGAGCAUACUUCUUUACCUACAAGGAUUGCCACAGAUUUCCUAAGGAUGAAAGCUAUUGCUGCAACACUGAAAAUGCUAGCUAGGAAGGAGAGGGAAAAAGGAUAUUCACAAGAUCCUCACAUCCCCUGAAAACAUCACGCAUCUACAGACUAUGAUCUCUACUUCCAAUCAGUAAUCACAUUCCAUCUGCCUUCAUUGUGUUCCUUACAAGGUAAAUGGACAACAUAUAUAUGAUAAUUACCUCAUUCUCACAGAAGGAGCACCGAAGAAUAACCAGGAUUCAAUGACAAGAAUCAGAAAGAAAAGUGACAUCAAGAUUCUUGAACAGAAGAAAAUCUCAUUAUUUCCUGAAACUUUUAACUGUUUUAAGUCCUUUUUCUGUUCUUGAGUUCCACACAAGGAGCCUAGAUUUCCUCCAGGUCAUUUCUGUGGUUAAUAUUUGGUGUGUAUAUUGUCUUCAGUAUAUUAAAAUUUCAAUAUCAAAAUUUUUAUUCUAACUACCUCAAAAUGACCAGUAAAUUGUAAGAUGUAAGUCACAUGACUUUGGUUCUAAUUUGGUGGACAACUCUCAGAAGUUUCACUGAAAAUAUUUUGUUAUGGCUAGAGUUAAUAGCACUAAAAUACAUAUUUAUAAAAUAAAAAAAUUACCCUUCAGUAAUACUCUUACA
rnacentral:lncRNA from 1 species